UAGAUUUGAAUGAUAUGUUAG
rnacentral:piRNA from 1 species